UACGGGGGGGGCAAGCGUUGUUCGGAAUUACUGGGCGUAAAGGGCUUGUAGGCGGCCAACUAAGUCAGACGUGAAAUCCCUCGGCUUAACCGGGGAACUGCGUCUGAUACUGGAUGGCUUGAGAUUGGGAGAGGGAUGCGGAAUUCCAGGUGUAGCGGUGAAAUGCGUAGAUAUCUGGAGGAACACCGGUGGCGAAGGCGGCAUCCUGGACCGGUAUUGACACUGAGGCGCGAAAGCCAGGGGAGCAAACGGG
rnacentral:rRNA from 1 species